rnacentral:rRNA from 1 species
AGGCGUGGAGCCUGCGGCUUAAUUUGACUCAACACGGGAAAGCUUACCAGUCCAACACUCUGUUACGAUUGACAGGUGGAGAGUUCUUUCACGAUUCAGUGGAUGGUGGUGCAUGGCCGUUCUUAGUUGGUGGAGUGAUUUGUCUGGUUAAUUCCGAUAACGAACGAGACUCUCACUUGCUAACUAACAACACAGUGCUCAGGGUCUCGUACCUUGAGCACUAAGCGAUUGUCUUCUUAGAGGGAUUUACAGCAGCUAAACACAGCCGAAUCGAGAAACCGAGAGCAAUAACAGGUCAGUGAUGCCCUUAGAUGUUCUGGGCUGCACGCGCGCUACAAUGCCUGGUUCAGCAGGUGUUUGUGUGACAUUUCGAAGCACACACCUUCUCUGAGAGGAGCUGGGUAAUCCUGUGAAAGCCGGUAUUGUAGCGCGUUCAUGCUUGCUCGUGCGUUAGCUUCGCAAAUGUGGGGCGCGUGCGAGCUUGUGUCGUAGUUGUGCACAUAUGCUUGGGGCAUGCUUGGGCCUGGGUCUUGGAAUUUUUUCCCACAAACGAGGAAUGCCUAGUAGAGGCCAGUCACGGAGUUUGCCGCGACUGAGUCUAUGCCCUUUGUACACACCGCCCGUCGCUACUACCGAUUGUGGGUACACAAGUGAGAUCUUUGGACUGUCUGAGCCUCGUGCGUUGGCGCAAGCUUGSGCAUCGAGCUAUGCGAUGAUGGGAAGAGGCUCGAACUUGUGUACCUAGAGGAAGUAAAAGU